AGUUUAAUUAAUAAUCCUAAAAGGAUUAGCUCAGUGUUAUCCUCAAAUAAAUUUCACCUAAGAGGUUUGCAAUAUGGACAGAGAACUGGAAAAAUGUGCAUGUGUUUCUCAAAUCCUUUAUGUUCAUUAUAAAAUAACCACUUUGAAUUUGAAUUUAUCUUGCAAUAUAAUUUCUUAAUUCAAAUACAUAAAAUUAAUAUA